rnacentral:lncRNA from 1 species
AUACAUCUGUUAAGUUUUCUGUCAAAACAUUUGUUUACUGAUGAUGAUGUAACACCUAAUAACUUGGUGUAAUAUUAAAAAAAUAAAAAUAAAAUUAUACAAAAAAUUAAAAAAUCUAGCUCUCCUACCUCAACCCCCACCCAACCCUCCCUCCCUUCCCCAAAAUCGCAGCCACCAGUCCCCUCAUUUUCUGUCGGCCGACUACCAUUGUCACCAUGCUUCCCCAAAACACCACCAAAUUUCUCCUCUAUGAUUUAAAUAUCAUCUUUUUUUUUCUUUCCAAUUGUUUGUCCAAGAUUCGACGGCCUUUCCAAUUGUUCGUCUAAGAUUCGACGGCGACCGUAUGAGGACCUUGAGGUUGGGUAAAUGGGUCAGACUUGACGGAAUCGAGAUCCAAUCGACCCACCUGCACUGCACAAUCAACCCGGAUCUGUUGAAUCUAUAACCCGCCCCUUUUAUUGCACUGCAGCUCCAUGUAGUUUGCUGCACGUGAAGUCCUUGCGUUCAUCGGCCGCCGUUAAGCCCUUACCAUCGUUGCCUCGCCAAGAGAUUCUGGGUGAGAGCUGCAAGAGCCCGAUCUGGUGUUGGAGAGUGAUAGGAUACUGCCAAGUGGCUUAAUAAGAUGAUGACAUGUGUACAUGGUUGUUAGUAGUUAGUUAGUAGUUAGAAGAUAAAUAGCAGGUUGUAGCAAUUGGAAAGGCAGUUAAUGAAAUUGUAUUGUUGUUCUCAUGUUCUGUUACCUAACUCUCUGCAAUUGUGGAAGAUGUAGAGUAGGGUUCUAACAGAGAGAAGUGAUAGUGUGGUUUUUGGGUAGGGGCAGAAGAGGGAGAGUUUUGGGACGAAGGAAGAGGAGAGGAGAGGAGCGAGAGAGAGAGGUGGCGAGGGAUCUGCAAAACAUUGAUAGGGAGAGAGAGUAGGGAGGAAUUGAAAGCAAAUCAUGGAAUCUGGAAACAUUUUUAGGGUUUUAGUUUUUCUUAAUUUUUAAUUUUUUAAUAUUUUAAUAUUUAUGUGGGCCCAUAUUGACAUGUACGUAGCAUCCAAUCAUUGUCCAUAUAAGCAUCACGUCAUCACUUAACGGUUGACUUAACAAGAACCUUAACGGAUGUACGAAACUGUCCCAAAAUUUUAACUUUAGGUACCACUAUGAGAUGAAAAAAACUUGAUGUACUAAAUGUUGAAAACCAAGAAACUUGAGAGUAUUAAAUUGCGAUUAACCCAUAUUUUUAAAGGAAAACUAAUGAAAAGGGUUUGAAAACUUUGAGUUUUAACGAUAAGGAUAAAAUAAAGGGUAAAUUGAAUAGUUGAUUGACUUUUUAGUGUUAAAAUGUGAUUUUUCAUUAAAGUGAACAGUACCAUUAGCUUUUCGUUAAAAUUCCCUAUUUUUAAUAAUGGUGAAAUCUAUUUGUAUUGGUGGGUGCUACGAUUCUGGGUAUACAAAAUAUGAUAAGUUUUAGCAUUACUCAUCAUUCUAAAACAUUUCAACAAGAAAAAGGAUAAUAUUUGCAUUCCUUUCAUAGGGGAAUGUAUUUGUCCCUCCACUUCUGAUUAACACAACUUAACCGUACAAACAUCAUAAUUUUAAUUGAAAAUAUGACUUUAGUCCCUGAAACUUAAUUUUCUCCACAUAAAACCCGACAUAAGUUUUUUACUGAAAUAAAACUCAUUGACUAGAUUUCACAUCAGCAAAUUCAUUAAUUAUAUUUGACUUUACACAUUUAAAAAAAAUCGAUGCCCAAAACACCCCUAUUUGAAUGUUUGAUUUUAAUAAUUAAUUCCAUACAAAUUGUAAGGGAGAAUUAAUGAUUUUACAAAAAUAAAAAAAUAAUAAAUUCAUUGCAUAAUAUAUAAGAACAAUAAAACAUGCCUAAUAAAUGUAGUAAUACAUGCUUAGUUAAGUCAAUAAAAUUAUAUUUUACAUAUAAAUUUAGGUAAAUUAUUUCACACACACACACACAUGUAUGUGUGUGUAUAUAUAACAACAACAAACAAAACAUGCCUGAUAUACAUAAAAAUUCAUGCAAAAUUAUUUACCUACAUAAUAAGGCAAACCCAAAUAUAUGUAAAAUAAUACACCUACAUAAAAAAUAUUAUUAUUUUAUUCAAUACUAGUUUACCUAUUAUUUGUACAUAUAAUAAUAAAAUGUGCCUAAUAUAUAUGAUGAUACAUACAAAAUAAAAUACCUACAUAAUGAAGAAAUGUUAUUUGAUUCAAAAUUAAUUUACUUACAAAAUAAAGUAAUUGUAUUUUAUUCAAGAUUAAUUUACCUAUUAUUAGUACAUAUAUCUUAUAAUAAUAAAAUGUUCCAAAUAUAUGUAAUAAUACAUGGAAAAUAAAUACCUACAAAAUAAAAGAAUGUUAUUUGAUUCAAUAUUAAUUUACGUACAAAAUAUAUGUUAUUUGCUCAUCAUAAAUUUAAGGGAACUUUAACGAAAAGCUCCCGGUACUGUUCACUUUAAUGAAAAACCACAUUUUUACACUAAAAAAUCAAUCCUGAUACUAUUCACUCUACCCUUUAUUUUGUCAUUAUCGUUAAAACUCAAAGUUUUUAAGCCAUUUUCAUUAGUUUUUCUUAAAUUUAAAUAUAGGUAGAUUAAUUAGUUUAAUAUGUUUGAUCAUAUAUGUAGUACUGUGCAUGUAUAUGUAUAUAUUAUAUAUAUAUAUGUGUGUGUGUGUGUGUGUGUGUGUGAAUGGAUAGUAGUAUUUUAUAUAUAGGUAAACUAUAUAUGUGUACAUAUACAUAUGUGUUUGUGUGUGUGUGUGUGCGCGAACGGAUAGUAGUAUUUUAUAUAUAGGUAAACUAUAUAUGUGUGCAUAUACAUAUACAUAUACAUACAUAUAUAUAUAUAUAUUGAGCUAAUGGUAGUAAUAUAUACAUUUGAACGUAUAUAUGUGUGUGUUAGGGGUAAUAAUAUGUGCAAUAAUUAUAUUUUCAUUAGGGUGAGUAAUAACAUUUAUUGAUUUUAUUUUGAAUAUUGUGGUACAAAUUGUAAAUAUUUUGUAAUAAUAGGUCAAUUACUUUUAUACUUGGCAAUUAUUUUUAAAUUUGGGUUUUAUUUGGAUGUUUAUAACUAGGUGGGUUUUUGUCUAAGAAAUAAGAGUUGCAAGGGUCUAUAUCUAAAGAACCCUAAUUUUAAUGGUUCAUUCUAUUUAUCAUUAUCUAUUAAAGAUUAUCUUUGUAAAAAAUCAUUCAAUUUGGAGAUCGUUUAACCUUUCAUAUGCAUCAAACAAAUUAAUAGAUGGUGCAUCAUCAGGAUACUAGCUACUUAUUAUAUACCAAACCAGUUCAGUAACACAUUUGUUGACAGACUAGAGAUGAAUCCUACUAUUGUUUGUGAACCUUGUAAUGUAUCAAGUGUGUUAGUAUAUGCUGUGUCUAAAGCAUAAUCGUUUUUAUUAUAGCAUUGUUGUAAACAUUCCUAGUUUAAGUAUGAUUGUGUAAAUCCUAGAUAAGAUUUGAUUCUAGUUA